rnacentral:rRNA from 1 species
CGUAGGGUGCAAGCGUUGUCCGGAAUUACUGGGCGUAAAGAGCUCGUAGGCGGUUUGUCACGUCGUCUGUGAAAUCCUCCAGCUCAACUGGGGGCGUGCAGGCGAUACGGGCAGACUUGAGUACUACAGGGGAGACUGGAAUUCCUGGUGUAGCGGUGAAAUGCGCAGAUAUCAGGAGGAACACCGGUGGCGAAGGCGGGUCUCUGGGUAGUAACUGACGCUGAGGAGCGAAAGCAUGGGAGCAAACAGGAUU